AAGUCGUAACAAGGUUUCCGUAGGUGAACCUGCGGAAGGAUCAUUAUCACGUAAAUCCACGUUAUAAACCCUUCUUUGAAUUGUUUAUAAAAACUAAAUUUCUGACAGCUGUGUGCUGUGCGAGGUUGGGACUUGGAAGUUGUAAGAGUGCGUCUGGUGCUGAGAAUUUGAAAAUCAGCAUCCGCUAAAAUGGGAUCGAAUGGUAACGUGAGAAUCCCAGAGUGCUCUUAUUAGUUCAAGACUAUCUAUCUCGUAGCUCAGAAAUCGUAAUUUCUCACUUUACAUUAUCGUAAAAACGACUGAAACCCCUUUUGAUAAAUUGAACUAACGGUUCAUUACUCCGCUUAUAAACGUGAGACUGAACAAAAUACGAAACAAAGAACAACUCUUAGCAACGGAUAUCUUGGUUCUC
rnacentral:misc_RNA from 1 species